CCACGGUGAAUACGUUCCCGGAGCUUGUACACACCGCCCGUCACACCACGAAAGUCGGGGGCGCCCGACGUGCCUACUUUGCUAGGCCCUAAGGCGAAUUCGGUAAUUGGGGUG
rnacentral:rRNA from 1 species